rnacentral:rRNA from 1 species
GAAGGUGUGCUGUGAGGCAUGCUGGAGGUAUCAGAAGUGCGAAUGCUGACAUAAGUAACGAUAAAGCGGGUGAAAAGCCCGCUCGCCGGAAGACCAAGGGUUCCUGUCCAACGUUAAUCGGGGCAGGGUGAGUCGACCCCUAAGGCGAGGCCGAAAGGCGUAGUCGAUGGGAAACAGGUUAAUAUUCCUGUACUUGGUGUUACUGCGAAGGGGGGACGGAGAAGGCUAUGUUGGCCGGGCGACGGUUGUCCCGGUUUAAGCGUGUAGGCUGGUUUUCCAGGCAAAUCCGGAAAAUCAAGGCUGAGGCGUGAUGACGAGGCACUACGGUGCUGAAGCAACAAAUGCCCUGCUUCCAGGAAAAGCCUCUAAGCAUCAGGUAACAUCAAAUCGUACCCCAAACCGACACAGGUGGUCAGGUAGAGAAUACCAAGGCGCUUGAGAGAACUCGGGUGAAGGAACUAGGCAAAAUGGUGCCGUAACUUCGGGAGAAGGCACGCUGAUAUGUAGGUGAAGCGACUUGCUCGUGGAGCUGAAAUCAGUCGAAGAUACCAGCUGGCUGCAACUGUUUAUUAAAAACACAGCACUGUGCAAACACGAAAGUGGACGUAUACGGUGUGACGCCUGCCCGGUGCCGGAAGGUUAAUUGAUGGGGUCAGCGCAAGCGAAGCUCUUGAUCGAAGCCCCGGUAAACGGCGGCCGUAACUAUAACGGUCCUAAGGUAGCGAAAUUCCUUGUCGGGUAAGUUCCGACCUGCACGAAUGGCGUAAUGAUGGCCAGGCUGUCUCCACCCGAGACUCAGUGAAAUUGAACUCGCUGUGAAGAUGCAGUGUACCCGCGGCAAGACGGAAAGACCCCGUGAACCUUUACUAUAGCUUGACACUGAACAUUGAGCCUUGAUGUGUAGGAUAGGUGGGAGGCUUUGAAGUGUGGACGCCAGUCUGCAUGGAGCCGACCUUGAAAUACCACCCUUUAAUGUUUGAUGUUCUAACGUUGACCCGUAAUCCGGGUUGCGGACAGUGUCUGGUGGGUAGUUUGACUGGGGCGGUCUCCUCCUAAAGAGUAACGGAGGAGCACGAAGGUUGGCUAAUCCUGGUCGGACAUCAGGAGGUUAGUGCAAUGGCAUAAGCCAGCUUGACUGCGAGCGUGACGGCGCGAGCAGGUGCGAAAGCAGGUCAUAGUGAUCCGGUGGUUCUGAAUGGAAGGGCCAUCGCUCAACGGAUAAAAGGUACUCCGGGGAUAACAGGCUGAUACCGCCCAAGAGUUCAUAUCGACGGCGGUGUUUGGCACCUCGAUGUCGGCUCAUCACAUCCUGGGGCUGAAGUAGGUCCCAAGGGUAUGGCUGUUCGCCAUUUAAAGUGGUACGCGAGCUGGGUUUAGAACGUCGUGAGACAGUUCGGUCCCUAUCUGCCGUGGGCGCUGGAGAACUGAGGGGGGCUGCUCCUAGUACGAGAGGACCGGAGUGGACGCAUCACUGGUGUUCGGGUUGUCAUGCCAAUGGCACUGCCCGGUAGCUAAAUGCGGAAGAGAUAAGUGCUGAAAGCAUCUAAGCACGAAACUUGCCCCGAGAUGAGUUCUCCCUGACUCCUUGAGAGUCCUGAAGGAACGUUGAAGACGACGACGUUGAUAGGCCGGGUGUGUAAGCGCAGCGAUGCGUUGAGCUAACCGGUACUAAUGAACCGUGAGGCUUAACCUUACAACGCCGAAG